rnacentral:rRNA from 1 species
GUCAUUUAGAGGAAGUAAAAGUCGUAACAAGGUCUCCGUUGGUGAACCAGCGGAGGGAUCAUUACCGAGUUUACAACUCCCAAACCCAAUGUGAACGUUACCAAACUGUUGCCUCGGCGGGAUCUCUGCCCCGGGUGCGUCGCAGCCCCGGACCAAGGCGCCCGCCGGAGGACCAACCAAAACUCUUAUUGUAUACCCCCUCGCGGGUUUUUUUAUAAUCUGAGCCUUCUCGGCGCCUCUCGUAGGCGUUUCGAAAAUGAAUCAAAACUUUCAACAACGGAUCUCUUGGUUCUGGCAUCGAUGAAGAACGCAGCGAAAUGCGAUAAGUAAUGUGAAUUGCAGAAUUCAGUGAAUCAUCGAAUCUUUGAACGCACAUUGCGCCCGCCAGUAUUCUGGCGGGCAUGCCUGUCCGAGCGUCAUUUCAACCCUCGAACCCCUCCGGGGGGUCGGCGUUGGGGAUCGGCCCUGCCUUGGCGGUGGCCGUCUCCGAAAUACAGUGGCGGUCUCGCCGCAGCCUCUCCUGCGCAGUAGUUUGCACACUCGCAUCGGGAGCGCGGCGCGUCCACAGCCGUUAAACACCCAACUUCUGAAAUGUUGACCUCGGAUCAGGUAGGAAUACCCGCUGAACUUAAGCAUAUCAAUAAGCGGAGGA